GCGCCACCGGGCGCGCCUGGGCGCCCUCGAGGGGCUCGUGCAGCAACUGCGCCGGGACAACCUGCUGUCGCACGAGCGGCUGCGACUGCUGGGCGCGGCAUGCCUGUCCGGGGGCCCGGGGCGCCCUGAGCCCGCGGGGCCCGGCUCUGUGACCAUCGUGUGCGGGGAAGAGCCUGCCGCUACAGUGCUCUACACGCUGACGCCUGCCCAGGACGACUGAGCCCUCGGGAGACCCCUGCCCAGGCCGUGGGGGGAGGGGGUCCCGGGCCUCAGCGUUUCUUUUGAACUCAAUAAACUUAACUUGAGAAAA